rnacentral:lncRNA from 1 species
CCAACCUAGGUGACAGAGCAAGACACUGUCUCUUUAAAAAAAAAAAAAGAAAAAAAAGGGACCUGCCCAGAGAGACCUUCCCUUAUGACCCUCCCCAUCUUCCCCACCCCCCCUUUUUUUUUUUGAGACAGAGCCUCUUUCUGUCACCCAGGCUGGAGUGCAGUGGUGAGAUCUCAGCUCACUACAGCCUCCGUCUCCCAGAUUAAAGUGAUUCUCCUGCCUCAGCCUCCUGAGUAACUGGGAUUACAGGUGUGAGCCACCAUGCCCGGCUAAUUUUUGUAUUUUUUAGUAUAGACAGAGUUUCACCAUGUUGGCCAGGCUGGUCUCAAACUCCUGACCUCAGGUGAUCUGCCUGCCUCAGCCUCAAGGUGCUGGGAUUGCAGGUGUGAGCCACUGUGCCCGGCCCCUCCCCCAUUCUUUGCAUAGGUAGUGCCUAUGCCACUGGUCCUUGGCUUGGACAUGUGCAUACGUGUCACUAGAAUGCCACCUGAGUCAGAGCACUGCCUGUCUUCCCACUGCUGUAUCCCACAUCCCCCACACAGGGCAGGUGCUCAGUAAACAUUUGCUGAAUAAAAGGACAGCUGGAUGGGUGCCGUGCAGGGACAGCUGGUGUCAAGCACCUGGUUCGCGCCAGGUUCUGCAACGUCUGUGUGAUGCUGGACACACUGCUCCCUGUCUCUGGGCCUCAGUUGCCCCAUCGGUAGACUCCUGAUCACAUACAGGCCUCCUGGAUACCAUGCCCUGCCUCACGAAGAGGGAGAGACUUAAGCCUGCAGGGCUCCAGGGGAGACAGAAGUCUGCCAGGAACAGCACGGUGAGCAGGGGGAACAGAACGUGCCAAGACGUGGCCAGGUGUGGAAGCUCAUGCCUAUAAUCCCAACACUUUGGGAGGCUGAGGCGGGGGAUCACCCGAGGUCAGGAGUUCGAGACCAGCCUGGCCAACGUGGUGAAACCCCGUGUCUACUAAAAAUACAAAAUUAGCUGGGCGUGAUGGCAGGCGCCUGUAAUCCCAGCUACUUGGGACGCCGAGGCAGGAGCAUCGCUUGAACCCAGGAGGCAGAGAUUGCACUGAGCCAAGAUUGUACCAUUGCUCUCCAGUCUGGGCAACAAGAGCGAAACUCCGUCACAAACAA